CAACCAUUACGCCAGCAUCCUAGCCGAAGCGCGGACCUCAGUCCCGGCUGGCCGUAUUACACCCUGGGCUAUAACACCUCCACCGAAGUGGAGGCCACAUUCCCAGAGCCUUUAUCCGGCCGCCGAAACUGAUGCUGGCCUGUCCAAACUGAGUAAACCGGUCAGAAGACCGGCCGAACAGUUUAAACAAGUCUGAUUGCAAGCGCUUCCCUUUCAACAAUUUCACGUGCUUUUUAACUCUCUUUCCAAAGUGCUUUUCAUCUUUCGAUCACUCUACUUGUGCGCUAUCGGUCUCUCGCCAAUAUUUAGCUUUAGAAGAAAUUUACCUCCCAUUUAGAGCUGCAUUCCCAAACAACUCGACUCGUCGAAGGAGAUUUACAUAGGGUGCCAUUUCCUGUCACAUACGGGAUUCUCACCCUCUAUGACGUCCUGUUCCAAGGAACUUAGACAGGCGGCUUCCCCAAAUCAUCCUCUACAAAUUACAAUGCGAACCCGAAGGCUAGCUUUCAAAUUUGAGCUGUUGCCGCUUCACUCGCCGUUACUAGGGCAA
rnacentral:rRNA from 1 species